rnacentral:sRNA from 1 species
GCAGACAGUAGCUAUUGAUACAAUUAUCUGUAAAAUUGAAACUGCUGAUGAAAAGACAAAUGAAACAACUGAAGAGAUACAAGCAAAAGUGGAUGAGCAUACUCAGAAAUCUACUAAAAAAGCUAGUGCAACAGUGGAACAGACAUCUA